rnacentral:rRNA from 1 species
UGGCGGACGGGUGAGUAACGCGUGGAAAACCUGCCGUAUACUGGGGGAUAACGCUUAGAAAUAGGUGCUAAUACCGCAUAAGCGCACAGCUUCGCAUGAAGCGGUGUGAAAAACUCUGGUGGUAUACGAUGGUUCCGCGUCUGAUUAGCUAGUUGGUGGGGUAAUGGCCUACCAAGGCAACGAUCAGUAGCCGGCCUGAGAGGGUGAACGGCCACAUUGGGACUGAGACACGGCCCAAACUCCUACGGGAGGCAGCAG